AAACUACACACUAUUGCUUCAACACAAACAUUUAUUAAAGUAUUAUAGAAUUUGUUGAAUUAAUGCAGGUCUUGUCUAUACAACAACAGUGUACUCUGAUAAUUCCUGUCAAGGUCCAAAAGGACAAAAACACUGUAACAAUUUUAUUUCCUGAAAAUCUUAUUUUCUCUCGUCCUCUCUGUUUUCCUAUUUAUAGCUUGACAUACAUGAUCACAAUGAACCGUAAGUGUCACUGUAUUGAAAGUUAUUGUGUUAAGAUUCUUUAGAUUAUUUCUUUUGUGUUCACUGGAAGAAAUAAACGCAGAGAUUUUGAAUGACAUGAGGAAGGCUACACCCUCUACUACAAUGAAUAUUAUUAUUACCCUGCCCGGUCACUUCUUCUUAGUUCCAUAUCCUUUUCACACUCUGGUAAGGCAGAGAGACUCAAUCAUUUAACCUACUAUUUAAAGUAAAUAAUAAAGAUACAGUCUGUAGUCAGUUACCUAACCAAAACAUACCUAACUGAUAAAUUCAUAAGAUUGUUGCGAGAUUUUUUUUUUUCUGAGAAUUUAUUUUCUUUUGACUGUCUGUCAGUGUAAAUUGAAUAUUAUAUUAUUAUUUUUAAUAAUCAAAAUAAUGUGCUAUAUUUAUAAGCAAUAUACAUUUUAGUAUUCAUUUUUACUUGCAUAGGCAAUUAAAAUAUGAUUUUGUUGAAAUAAGCAGAAUUUAUUGAUUUAAGCAGUCACAUUACAGGGACAUUUCAUGAUUCACAUCAGUGGGAUGUUUAUCACAUUGAUAACAUUUAAGGCAUUUACAUUAGGCAUAAUAUUUAAGCUUACAAAAGGUUCUUGUGAUCAGCAAUUUGUAAGAUUGUAAUUUACAAAUAUGUUUAUCUGCUAAAAAUGAUCUGUGCAUCUCAAAAAUGCAUCUUAAACAAAUACAAACAACAUGAUACAAGUACCGUGAUCAGUGAACCAGUAGAGAGAACACAGCAGUGAUGUAAAAACUUGGAGGUCAGAAGGUUGAAUAUCAGCCGGCAUGUGCAUAUUGGGAGUUAUGCAUGUGUGAAUUUAAUUUUUGGAGCUUCCACCCAAAAUCAUAAGUAUGUAGAGGAAUAUCAUAAUGAUAUCCAGGUAGAUAAUUAAGGCAGCAUAGAUGUACUCUUCAGGAUCAAGGCUGUAUGUUUGUCUGCCCAUCACCAGCUGACAGUCCACUGCCAGAAACUACAUGAGAGAAAGAGAAACAUUGGUAUCAGUGAGACACAAAUUACAUCAUACUUUCUUAAGUGGUCAGUAUUAUUAAAUGUUAAUCAUGCUUUACCAAGGCAUAAAGAAGAGCUCCCAGACAUCCAUAGACAAUUUGCAGAACACUGGAGUAGAAGAAGAUGCUGAAGAAUCCAAACAUGAGUAAGUCGACGGACAGUAUGAGCAGAAUACCAUUACAAACUGUGAAGUCCAAGCGAGUCUGAAAGGAUCACAACAAAGGAAAUGAGUUUAGAGGUCGCAGAGCAACUAUAUAAAGUCAGGUUAUGCUUUUUUGAAUAAGUCUUUCAGGGUUUAUUUUAUCUAAAGCACUGAGGUAGUUCAGUGCUUUAAAUUACAUAUAACUAACUUCAACUUAAAAUUAGCUGAUAUCAGAUUAGUGUUAUUUAUUGAGAGACUGAACAUACCUGGGCAGAGAAUAUGAUGAUGGUGAAUGAGAUGACCAGAGUUGAUCCUAAAGCGAUGAUUACAGCACUUGUGUCAUGAUAUGAGGCUACAGUUCCCACCAUGUAGGACAGACUCAGCGUAACAAUUGACUGCAGGCAAUAAUAGGGCAUGUUAGGCCUAUUAUAUGAAGCUAUCAAGGCAUAGCCUAUAUAACAUUAAUAACAUUGCAUUUUGAUUUCUGAUCAAGACUUAGAAAUGCCAAAUGAAACACAUAAGUACACAAACAAUACUUUAUGAACAAGUAAUUUGUCAAGCCAUUUUUAAUAAAUAAAAUAAAUUAUUA
ensembl:lncRNA